rnacentral:rRNA from 1 species
UACGUAGGGUGCGAGCGUUGCCCGGAAUUACUGGGCGUAAAGGGCGCGUAGGCGGCACUGUUAGUCAGGCGUGAAAGUCCUGGGCUCAACCUGGGAACUGCGCUUGAUACGGCAGAGCUAGAGGAUGGAAGAGGGUCGCGGAAUUCCCAGUGUAGAGGUGAAAUUCGUAGAUAUUGGGAAGAACACCGGUGGCGAAGGCGGCGACCUGGUCCAUUACUGACGCUGAGGCGCGACAGCGUGGGGAGCAAACAGG